AUCCAGGUGACGAGUCCCGAGUAGGACGAAACGCGCGUCCUGGAU
rnacentral:hammerhead_ribozyme from 1 species